rnacentral:lncRNA from 1 species
GGGUCCACACUGGGGGGAGUGCAGAAGAGGGUUUAUGUGUAUCCUGGUCAUUCUCACCUUGGGGGAAAUGCAAAUGAUACUAAUGGGCCACGAAGAGGUCAACAUCAUGGUCGGCAUCAUGUGAUUGUGAACCGACCCGCGUGUAGAUUUAAUCCACGCUGUGGAGGUUCUCUGCUUAGUUCAGACUGGGUGAUCACUGCUGCUCACUGUGACUGCUGGUUCCUAAGAACAGUUUUAAAUUCACACCCUGACUAUUCACAAAGGCAAGUAUGGAAGAUUGCUGAAAAACAUUAUUGUUGUGACAAUGGAAAAGAGCAUGACCUCCUGCUACUAAAACUUCAACCUGAAACCGUUCGCGGUCAGCGUGGACAUUUACCCACCAUUCCACUACCCCCACGAUCCUGUAAAGCACCAGAUCGUUACCAGAGAGUUCGUUUUUAUGGUCGGAUGGACGCAACUCUUGCUGCACCCGAUCCUAAACACAACUACAAGCAAAAAAUGAAUCCUUUCUCUGCAAACAGGCUUCGGUUUGGCAACAUCUCAGUUGUGGAGUGUUCGUUUGGCUCACUAAAUAAUUGCAACCCAGUAAGCAAUUGCACCUAUACCCCUGGUUCCUGUAUUUGUGUUCGAGAUCCACAUGUUGCAACAAAUCCAGGUGAUUCAGGAGGAAGCUAUGUCUGGCGUGGGCCAGGGGACCCACAGGAAUAUCUGUAUGGAGUGCAUAAUUCUGGCUCUGGUUAUCUUGAUGACAGUCCAUCACAGGCCAAGAAUAUCUGUUUCAAAAUGUACAGAGACUGGAUCUACAGUGUGACGCGUCUGUGACAGUGUGACAGCAGUGUGAUGUGUACUGCUGUGUGUGAAAAUAAAGAGAUCAUAGAUCUCCCUUAGAGCA